GAAAAAUUGUGCUCUAUAUGUGUAACAGGAAUUAUAAUGCAUUCUGCUGUCAUUUAUUUUAAAAAAUCAAUUGAAAAAAAAAAAAAAAAGCCAGCCUCAGCAAUUUAGGGAGGCCCUAAGCAACUCAGUAAGACCCUGUCUCUAAAUAAAAUACAAAAAGGGCUGAGGGUGUGGUUCAGUGGUUAAGUGCCCCUGGGUUCAAUCCCUGGUACCAAAACAAAAAAUUGGUGUGUCUCUCCCAAUAAAAGCAGUAAGAGCUGGGUUCAAAUCUUGUCUCUACCAUAAAUUAAUCCUGAGACCUUAGGCGACUGACUACUUUUUUUGGUACUGGGGAUUGAACCUGGUGCUUCACUGAACUGUAUCUCCAGUCCUUUUUAUUUUGAGACAGGGUCUCUAAGUGGCUGAGGCUGGCCUCCAAUUUGCUAUUCUCCUGCUAGGAUUUUAGGUAUGUACCACAACACCUAGCUCAAUGGACUACUUCUGAGAAAUUUAGUUCCUUUUCUUGUGAAAUGGGAUUAAUAAUAGUAUAUAUCUUUUUUGUCUGAUACUGGGGAUUGAACCUAGAAGCACUUAUUACUGAACUACAUCCCCAGACCUUUCUAUUUUUUAUUUUGAGACAGGAUUUCUCUAUGUUGCUGAGGGUCUUGCUAAGAUGCUGAGCUGGCCUCAAACUUUUGAUUCUCCUGCCUCAGCUUCCUGUGUCAGUGGGAUUAAGGUAUAGACCAACAAUAGUAUAUAUCUUAUUGCUAAAAGAUUACAAGAGAUGGUGCAACCAAUUUGGAAAACAGUUUUCCAGUUCCUCAGUGGUUAAACAGAGUUAAUGUUAUAACCCAGAAAUGCCUCUCUUAGGAAUUUCCACCCAAUAGAAAUGAAAAUGUAUGUCCACAGAAAAGCUUGUACCUAAAUGCUCAAAGCAGCAUUAUUUCUAGUAACCAAAAAAUGGAAAUAUCUAAAUGAUCAUCACUGAGGAAUUGAUAAACAAAAUGUACUAUAUCCAUGCAAUAAUGUUAUUAGCCAUAAAAAGGAAUGAAAUACUUCUGGGUAUGGUGGCACUCACCUGUAAUCCCAGAGACUAGGGAUGCUGAGGCAGCACGAUUGCAAGUUCAAGACCAACCUCAGCUAUUUAUUGAGGCCCUAAGCAAUUUAGCAAGACCCUAUCUCAAAACAAAAAAAUAAAAAUAUGCUGGGUGCAGUGGUGCACACCUGUAAUCCCAGCAGCUCAGUAGGCUGAGACAGGAGGACUGCAGGUUCAAAGCCAGCCUCAGCGACUGUGAGGUGCUAAGCAACUCAGUGAGACCCUCUCUCUAAUAAAAUACAAAAUUGGGGUAGGGAUAUGGCUCAGUGGUUGAGUGGCCCUGAGUUCAAUCCCUGGUACACCAAAUAAAUAAAUAAAUAAAUAAAUAAAUAAAUAGGCUGGGAAUGUAGCUCAGUGGUAAAGCACCUUUGGGUUUUAUUCCCAGUACCAAAUAAAUAAAAUAAAAAUAAAUGAAGUACUGAUAAGUGCUACAUGUGAACAGACCUUGGAAACAUUAAACAAAGAAUCUAAACACAAAAUCCACAUAUGAGCCAAGUGUGGUAGCAUAGCACACGUCUGUAAUCCCAGCAGCUCUGGAGACUGAGACAGGAGGAUGGCAGGUUCGAAACCAGCCUCAGCAACCUAGUGAGACCCUGUCUCAAAAUAAAAAAAGAGCUGGGAAUGUGGUUCAGUGGUUAAGUAUUCUUGGGUUUAAUCCCUGGUACAAAAAUCCACACAGGGUUGUUUAUAUGAAAUGUUCAAAGAAGGCAAAUCUAUAGAGAGAAAGUAGAUUAAUGGUUGCCAGGGACUGGGGAAGGAAGUUAAUGGGUAGGAGUAUGUUUUGGGGAUGAUAACAUUUUUAUGUUCUAAAAAUAAAGUGAUGGUUGUAACCACUUUAUGGUUGUAAAUAUGUUAAAAUCAUAGAAUUUUACGCUGUAAACAGGUGAAUUUAUGGUAUGAUAAUUAUAUCUCAAUAAAG
rnacentral:lncRNA from 1 species